CAUCAUGCCAUGGAUGCCCGCGCCGCGCCCCUGGAGCCUGUCAAGUGCCUUGCUUCGAGCGGCCGAACCUAAUGCUUGCAUUUUUGUGCAUCUUUCUCCAUGCUGAGAUCCACUUAUGCUGCAGAGAUGGCAUCCAACAGAAUAGAGAUCGACUGCAGAGAUCACCAGGUGACUGCAGAGAUCACCAGGUGACUGCAGAGAUCACCAGGUGACUGCAGAGAUCCCCAGGUGACUGCAGAGAUCACCAGGUGACUGCAGAGAUCACCAGGUGACUGAAGACGAGAGGCAGAGGAGCAAGAGUCAUUCUUUGAGAUGAGGAGAUCGAAGCAAGAGAAGAUCACGGCGUAUGGAGUGGCUGACGUGGGCAGCAUCGCUGGAGAGAGCAGAACCAGACUCUGACGAAUGCACCAACACAGAUAGAGAUGACUUUAGACUUUAACAGUGGCACCAGCAGUGAAGAUCUACAGCACCUAGGAGAAGUGCGCCCUCACAUCCUUCAGUGAGGAGAGGAAAGGGUGCGUGAAAUCUUACCGGACCUCUGAGAGAUGAUUCACAACAAAGUCAAGGAAAGGAAGUAAUCCUCUAUCACUGAGAAGGGUCAGAUUCCAAGGUGGUAUGAGGGAUUGUCACCAAAAACUUAAGCAGUGAUUCACAAAGGCAAGGAAUAGAGUUAAUCUGAUUAGAUGCAGUUACUUGCUUCAGCCUUAGUAAUUGAGCAAGUCUGUGCAUUUGUAUUUUGGCAUACUAGGGGCGGUUCUUUAGCCAGGUUUGGAGGGGAGCUAAACCCUUGGCACAUGACAUCACCUUUUAAUUUUCGCUGCUGCUCUUUGGGGGGGGGGCAGGCUUCCCCAUAGAACCACACCUGUACACUUCCAUCAACAUUAUUCAUAUUAGGUAAAUUAAAUAUAACUUUUUUAGUUUACUUUUCAACAAAGACCACUGCUUCUCUUAAAUUUGAAUUCCAUACACUUUCUUCCUGAUACCUUUAUUGUCCUAUCAAAGCAUAGUUCUUGCAUCUCAGUUACCAUUUAAUGCCACGAUGUUUGACUUCAGAAACUGUUUUGAUAAAUUUGCACGAUAGAAAUGCCAAUUCUCGAGACCAUAAAUGAUAAGACUCCCACAAACAUUUCUAAUAGACCUCUGACUGAGAACGCCACACUUUGCUCUGUGGACAUGGGCUCCCACUGGCUCCAUAGGAAAGUGCACAUAUAAAUAAAGUGUGACAUCAUCAGUACAUAGGUCCAUUACAAGGGGCCAACAAAACAUGCCAAAGCUACAAAAACUGUCACUGUGAGAGACAAUAUUUUAGGCCCUAUAAAUUGAUCACAAACCCUAGCUUUACUGUGGUACUAGUUGUAAGUUAGUUGUGAGUUUAUUCCUUUCUACUUGACUGCAUAAUGAUUACUUAAACGUUGGUGAUGUAAAGUUUUGUACAUGUGUAAACUAUUGUAAAUUUGGUUAGGGCUCCCUGUAUAUUGCAUGUUCUGACAAACUGAAUGGUGUAUUGUUCAUUUUACAUCUCCAAUUCUCACUGAAAGCAUCCAGGAUACCAGUCCUGUACUUGAAAGCAUCCAGGAUACCAGUUCUGUACUUGAAAGCAUCCAGGAUACCAGUCCAGUACACCCAGUGGCCAUUCCAAACCUCACUUUAACCAGUUUUUACCUCAUCCCUUGGACAGAGGUCUAAGUUCCUUUGUUUUCAGUUGCAUUGGAAAAAGUCUUUUACUUUAAAAUUAUCACGAAAUCUUGAAAUCAGACAUUUGUGUUUGAUAAGAGUGGCUUGCUCAAUUCCUGUACAUAUUGGUAACAGUCUCUGUGUAAUAAUAAUGCAGCCAUUUGGAUUACAAUUGAAAUAAACAUUUAUUAAAUAUCAAUCAAAAGAA